GGUUAGGGUCAAUACAGUGGGAUAAUUCUCACAAAGCAUAGCCAUGGCGGGCUUUAUUUUCCCUGAAUAACUUGCAACGAUCGAGUCUUUAUUCGUUAUUCUCUUUUCAAAUCGUGUUUCUUUUCCCUUCGAACCAAAGCAUUAUACCAAACGGUUGUUCCGAGGGCUUCCCAGUGCAGUUGUUAGCCAUGGAUCUAUACGGACGAUUCUCGUCAGCGCGAGAGAAAUAAAGCCAACCAGCGGGUAUUUGUGGUGCUGUUUUUGCCGGGCUUGGCCCGGGUAACAUUUCGGGAGAAUGACUGGCUUACCGUUUAGACGGAAGGACAGAGAUUCCUGGUCGGUUUGCUAAUGAGGGUAUGCCGAUCGCCUGACGUCACGGAGUGAUUGCUAGUUUUCCGUAUGCGUGUGUAAUGAUCUGUGGCUUACAAAUACUUGAGGGAAACAUCUUGCCCUGUAGUGAAAAUGGACAGAUCCGCUGUUUUAUCUGGGACAAAUCAAGGUGUCAAGGAGGCGAAAAUGUUUAUCCAAGAGCCGAUACAAGACGCUGGGGAUCUCUUGAAAGAAUGAUGUUGCGACUUCGACUUUCUCAAAUUCCUCACCAAAGGAUAUUGUGGACGGUGAACGAUAUAUUUUGCCUGUUUUUCUUGUAACCACACUCUCUGUCUGCAGUAAAGAAAACGAGAUCACAACAAACCUCCAGCUCAACAGGGACAAUUGAUUUUUCUAGAAUUCUUUUGGGUAAAAUUGUAAGCACACAUUCAAAUGACCUCUUGAAUUUGGGUAUCUAUACCAAAUGACUGCAUUUAGUCACCAAACCUUUAACUCGGUCUUCUCUAUUUUUAACGGAAAACACCCCGGUACAUGAUGCCUCUUGCAUUCAGUGUUUAAAUACUGAAGUUUACUAUUGGUAUAAAUUUUUCAUAACACUCGUGUCCUCGACAGAGGUGCAUUUGCGCUCAUUCAAAAUAUGUCAGCAAAAUCAUACUGAUGAAUGCAUUGCUCUGUUUUGGCAUGGCCGCUGCAAAGAAUUAGUAUCAUCCACAAAAUGUUACGCCAUGAUUUGUUAGAGGAAGUUGAAAUAGUUCGGCAGAGAAAAUCGCCGCUUAAUUAGUCUUGCAUCUACUUACCAAGGUUUCGUCGGACGGGUGUUAAACCUGCUGGUACAUUUUUUAAGCAACCCUCAAAGAUUCCAUUUAACGACUGUAAAAUUCUGCAACUUUGUUAAGUGAGUGAAAUUUAUCAUGAAUUUUAACAAAAACCUCUUUAUUGCUGUUCGGAGUAGGAAAACUUUUGAAUUUUAAGUUGUCUUUCACUAAGGACCACCACUGACUUCAUCGAGGUUGUGCACAAUGGGUUAACUUUGAUUUUUAAGCACAUCUGAUAAAGAUGGUUUUGUAAUGUCUGAGUAUACAAAUUUCCCGCACUGUGCUGGCCGUUUGUUGGAAACUGUGCACAUGUCGCUUAUUCAGUUACCGAGUCUUUUGGAGAUUUUCGAUACCGAUUACGACCUAUAAUGUCCUCUUGCCAGUCUGCAUGAUUUCAAAAGAACCUCCUGAAACCGGUAAUUGUGAACAAUCUACAGUAAUUUAGCUGAUGAGUUUCACAACAAAAACGUUAUCAUCACCUCUUGUUUGCAUGACUCUUUGAAUGGGUGAAUGGCUUAUCAUCCUACUGUACAUUCUGCUUCGUAAGAUAUUCCUAUGGCAACCCAUUGACUCUAAUGAAUGCAGACAGAUAGACUUCAAAUAGAAGAUAAACCACAAAAAUGUAUUUGUCUAGAGGCAGUUAUUUUGAUAGAGACCUGUUUCAAUGCGAAAUUUCUUAUCACAUGAGAACAAAACAAUCUUGUGAUUUGUUAAGGUCGAUAAGGAAAAAGGAAAGGAAAAAAGGAAACACUUAGAAAAAAGGAAAAGAUAAAAAUGUCUAUCGCAAAAACAUACAGUGGCGUGUUCUGGUAAAAACCACACCCGUUCUCAGCUCCAUGCAGACUGAGUAGGAGUUACGAGAAAAUGGUGGAAAUUAUUCCCGGCCGCUUGAAAAUUGUACGUUAAUUAAUGAUUGUGUACAUCAGCAAAUUGUAAGGGAGUUUAUCUCGGCAGAGCAUUUAUUGCAGAUAAAAGAAUCGACUGAAGUGAAAUAAGUCCUAAAGGAUAUUUCAAUCAAUACCUGUAAUCAUUUAGUUUCGUUACGUUUCGCACCUGAUUGACGUAAGAAAAUUUAAAGGGUCACUUGGAGAUGCUUUUGUUUGUUUUGUUUGUUCGUUAUUCAUCUGGGUUGUUUUGACUGGCUCUCAGAUUCACUUCAUACUAUGAAGCUGGAAAAAUGCCGAAUCAAAUCAAACUUUUAUUUUGUUUUUCUGGAGAAAAGUAUAAGAAAUUGGAGACAAAAUAGACAAAAUACAAUUAGGAGUAGAGUAAGGAGUUCGAAUUUUCUUAGGAUGGUAAAAAGAUAUGAACUUCAUCAGGAGUAAGAAUUUAGGAAAGAAAUAAGACUUUGAAAACUUUUAAGAGGGCCAUAAUCCUUCAAAAAAGCGAAAAAGUCAAGAGUAAGUGGAAAUUGACGAUGUUGUCCGGUCGCAUGGUGCUGUUCAUGAAUACGCCGCUUUUAAGAUUGAUCAGAUAGGCUUGCCGCGUAAUUUGAGUACCCGCACUUUUCUACAAGUAAAACCAUUUUAUAAGUCUGCAGGCGAUUAAUUGUAUAAGCCAAACUACUGUGAUUGAGUAUGGAUCAUGAUCACUUGCUGUGCUGAGGCAUUAUUAAAUUAAUAAAUAUGCCGUAUGCUAAAUCUUUGGCUAUUUGGAUUGAAGAAGCCUCCACUGUUUUAUCUAAUUGUGCAGUAUAAGACCCUGUACUUCAGGGAUUGUUACUUCAGGCUUAUUGUUGUACAUAUCAUUGGUAAUGUAAAUUAAUAAAACUAUAAAGCAGAAAUUUGUCUUCAACAA